UUCCUUAGUAGAAAAAUUUAUCUAUACAGCUAUACUUUGACAUUAUAUGACUAAUUUUUCCUCAUUUCAUGAUUGCUUCUUUUAUUUUUGGAUGCAAAUGGGAAAUAACUUAAAGAAAUCUAACAUAUAGUAGGUUACUGAAAUGACAGUUUCAGUUAUACACUCUUUGAAGAAAUAUUUUUGGAAAUAUGACACCAUGAACAUGUAAAUGCAGUUACUGUGAUACAAAGGGUUAUUUCCUUGACAAUUCUUAGUUUCCAUUACUAAGAACUAAUGAUAAGCAUAUAUACAUUAUCAUUCAUGUGUAGUAUUACCUACUAAUGCAACAUAAUCAACAGUAAUGGAUUCUUUUAAAACCUUUUGAUUUCCAUGUGUUUGUUUUAUGUGAUGGUAGAUGCUGCAUUCCUCCUACUGAUUGUCUGAUUCUAUCAAAGCCACGAUACAAAAAAAGAAAAGGAAUGAAAUUUAUAUUUGCACAAUUUUAUUCUAAGGCAAAAGCUUAUUGGUAUUAGCUAGUGCUAAAAAUCAUUUUACUGGAUAGGUUCUUGAUUAUCUGAAGGAGUAAUGUCCCUUUUCCUCAUGCAAGUGGGAAUGAAAUAUGAAAAAAAAAAACACUAGUAUUGUUUUCUCAGCUCUCCAUCUCCUUGCAUUAUAAUGAUGUGUUCAAUGCUUGUCAUUUUCUUUCUUGGAUGGCUCCAGAAGUUAUUCAAGAAAGUCGGUAUGAUGGAAAGGUAGAUGUAUGGGCGCUUGGAGUAUCCGCAAUUGAAAUGGCAGAGGGGCUUCCUCCAAGAGCAACAGUGCAUCCCAUGAGGGUUAGUCUGUGAAUUCGAAGCUUCAACAGAAUAUGUCACAUGCAUUAUUGCUAUUCUGCAUAUGAACUAUAGUGGAGAGAGUUGGUUCAUUGAGCUACAAUCAACAAGAGAUUGAUGAAGUUAGAGACACAUGGACCAAGUAGUUCAUUGAUGAAUGGAUUAAUACAUUGCAUUAGUAUGUGAAAUAGUAAUGUGAUGUAUUGCUUUUAUUGCUUUCGGUACAAAGUUUGGGAUAAUAUUAUGACUUGUAUUAAUUAAUUUAGAUAAUUUUG